GAAAUAAAAUUAUUAUUUAAUUUUUAAAUUUAAUUACAUUUUAAAAAAAAAAAUUUUUAUUUUAUUAUUUUUAAGAAAAAAUUAUGUUAAUAAUAGUUUAUAGUAUAGAGAUAGAAAUUUAUUAAUAAAAAAAAAGAAAAAUUUAAAUUUUGUACCUUGUGCAUCAGGGUUGAUUAAUAAAAAAUUUUAUAUAAAAUAUUCUCGAAUUUAAAAGAGCUAAUUAGUUAUAAAUUUUAUUGUAAAAUAAAUAUUUAAAAUAAUUAAUUAGAAAUGAAACGUUAUUCGUUUUUAAAUAUAUCUAGUUUCUAAAUAAAUAAAUUUAAUUUAUUUAUUUAUAAUUAAAAUUUUAAAUUUUUAAUUUUUUAUUAUGAAUAAAAAAUUUUUUUAGGGAUAAGCUUAAAAAAAAAAAAUUAUAAUUUAUUAAAAAUUAAAUAAAUUAUAGGAUUAUAAUUUUCUAUAAAUAAAAAAAUGUUAUAAUUAAUUAUUUUAAAUAUAUAAUUUUUAUUAAAUUUAAUUAUUAUAUUUAGAUAAAAUUUAAAAUAUUGAAAAAUUUGUAAUAAUGAUUAAAUUAGUAUAAAUAUUUAUAUUAAUAAAUAUGUAAAUAAAGGUUAAAUUAAGGAAUUCGGCAAAUAUAUUUUUCACCUGUUUAUUAAAAACAUGUCCUUUUGAUUAUAAUUUAAGGUCUAAUCUGCCCACUGAUAAAUUAAAUGGCCGCGGUAUUUUGACCGUGCAAAGGUAGCAUAAUAAUUAGUUUCUUAAUUAGAAGCUGGAAUGAAAGAUUGAAUGAGAAAAUAACUGUCUCAAUUUAAUUUAAUUAGAAUUUUAUUUUUAAGUUAAAAAGCUUAAAUGAAUUUAAAAGACGAGAAGACCCUAUAGAGUUUUAUUAAAUUUAUUUUUAAUAUUAAAUAGAUUUAAAUAAUAUUAAUUAUAAAUUUAAAUUUAUUGGGGUGAUAGAAAAAUUAAUUUAACUUUUUUUAUAUAAAAACAUUUA
rnacentral:rRNA from 1 species